ACCGUCAGAGUGACGCGCGCUCUGCCGCGCAAGCGCGCUGCUGCCCUCCCUUCUCCCCGGAGACUCCUGGAGGGAAAAAAACGGUGCCCAGCUUCAUCCCGGGCACGUAACAUGGGGUAAAAAUCACCAAUUCCUCCCACUGAUCCUUGUACAGGACAGUCCUCAACCCCUUCACUAUUAUGGUCACCUUUCUCUGGAUAGACUCCAGCUGGCUACCUAUAAUGGGCCAGAUCUGACAAUGUCCAUGGGAAGUAACUGGAUCUUGCUAGAAAUGGAUUGAAUUGUUCUAUGUGAAAGUCUUUGUACAUCUAUUGGCCCUAGCACAAGUAUUUGAAUGUUUGGUCCUUUCUACUUUUCUGUCCUUAUUAUUCUGUCAUUACAGUGAUUUAUUUGGUCUCCUUUGUGAAGGCAGUUUAAUCCUGUUCUUCUUCUUGGUU